rnacentral:lncRNA from 1 species
CGCGGAGCCUGCAGAUGAUUGGGCAUCGCAGAGCGGAGGCGGGGCGACUCCGCGCCCUGGAAGCGGCGGAGGCGGGGUCUGCACCUGCGGUGCGGCCCGCUGUCCUAACCCCGGGGGGCUCUCCGGUGCGCGUCAGCCCGCCGCGGUUUGAACUUAAGGGGCGUCUCCUCUGGAGAGUGCGCUGGGUGGGUCAGCAGCGGUGAGUCGUUACCGAACAGCCUCACGACCAAAGUUAACAUUGUCUCUUGGGCUGUGUUUGGGUUUUGGCGUUUGCCUCUUCGCACGCUAUGCCACCUACCUACAUACAAGGGAAAUUGGAAGGAUUUAGAGGCCUUAAUUACUUCAGUUCCUGCGUUCGGAUACAAUCCGAAUACUUGGCACACUGCUUAUGAGCGUUUUGGAAGACACUGCAAGGCUAAAGUCUUUGACAAACACGUUUGACGCACAUCUAGAAAACGUUGCUUUUCAACUGUGCACAGCUGUGUUCACUUUGAACGAACUAAAACCUAUCUUCUGUCUCCCUGAGCGUGAAGUGCCAAGGAACAAGUAUACACGUCUCCAAGCCUCCCUGCAGAGCCUGUUUCAAAAAUAACCUCCUGCUCCAGUUUCAAUGUGUCUCCAUAUACUGGAAACUUAAUCCCCAGUGCAACAGUACUGAGAAGUAAGACCUGCCAAGGUAGGUCAUGAGGGCUCUGCCCUUCAUCGAUGAGUUGAUGCCAAUUAUGGGAGUGAGUUCCAGAUAAAACGAUGCGUUGUGCCACCUCUGCACACCGUGCUACACAUGUAUGUGCACACGCUCUCUUGAUCUUGUCUUCUGCCCUGGGAUGACAUAGCAAAAUGGCCCUCACUAGAUGUGGAAAACCAGUCUUUGACUUCCCAGCCUCCAGAACUAUAAGAAAUAAAU